rfam:Camelus ferus unplaced genomic scaffold scaffold642, whole genome shotgun sequence.
GAGGGUAUAGCUCAGUGGUAGAGUGUGUGCCUAGAACGUACAACGUCCUGGGUUCAAUCCCCAGUACUUUCA